rnacentral:misc_RNA from 1 species
AACUCUUUUUGACUAAAAGGGUGUAUUAGAAUCGCUUCAAAUCAUCAAAAAGACACCAAAGUUCACUUUUUUAGGUUGUUUGUUGUUCUGGGUCAGUUGUGAAUGAUCUGAUAUCUUUGUUGUUUUUUUAAGGAUGGCUGAUGAUAUGGUCAUUCAUUUUGCAUCCAAUUCUUCUAACCAAUCUGACCAGUCUUUGCCUACAAAAAUUGCGAAACUUGAGGCAAGAAUGGUGGGGAAAGCUUCAUCUGUUACAUCUCAAGCUAAUUCCUGGUCUUCCCCAGCUAUGUUUGAGAAUGUUGCUGAGCCUGCCACCGUCUCUAGUGAUUCAGAUGAUGAUGAUAACGGAGUGGAAUAUCUCAUACAAGCAAACACUCAGAAGCGGCGCAAACUUGAAGAAGACGACAGCUCAACUUCG